rnacentral:rRNA from 1 species
GACGACGCUGGCGGCGUGGAUUAGGCAUGCAAGUCGAACGGUAGGAUACCUUCGGGUAUCUGAGAGUGGCGAACGGGUGAGUAACACGUAGGUGAUCUACCCUCAAGAUUGGGACAACCCAGGGAAACUUGGGCUAAUACCGGAUGAAAGCAGCAGUGAUGUUGUUUGAAAGGUGGCGUAAGCUGCCGUUUGGGGAUGAGCCUGCGCUCUAUUAGUUAGUUGGCGGGUAAAGGCCCACCAAGGCGAUGAUAGAUAGGCGGCCUUAACGGGUGGUCGCCCACACUGGGAUUGAGAUACGGCCCAGACUCCUACGGGAGGCAGCAGUCGAGAAUAGUCUACAAUGGCCGAAAGGCUGAUAGUGCGACGCCGCGUGAACGAAGAAGCCCUUCGGGGUGUAAAGUUCUUUUAUAUGUGAGCAGUGCUUUCUAUGUGAACAGCAUGGGGAGAGAGAUAUUAGCAUAUGAAUAAGCAACGGCUAACUCCGUG